UGGGGAAUUUUGCACAAUGGGGGAAACCCUGAUGCAGCGACGCCGCGUGAUUUAGAAGGCCUUCGGGUUGUAAAAAUCUUUUUUACGGGAUGAAAAUGACAGUACCGUAAGAAUAAGGUCCGGCUAAAUACGUGCCAGCAGCCGCGGUAAUACGUAUGGACCGAGCGUUGUCCGGAAUCAUUGGGCGUAAAGGGUACGUAGGCGGCCUAGUAAGUUAGAAGUGAAAUAAUAUAGCUCAACUAUAUAAAGCUUUUAAAACUGCUAGGCUUGAGAGAUGGAAGGGAAAGUGGAAUUCCUAGUGUAGCGGUGAAAUGCGCAGAUAUUAGGAAGAAUACCGGUGGCGAAGGCGACUUUCUGGGCAUCAUCUGACGCUGAGGUACGAAAGCGUGGGUAGCAAACAGG
rnacentral:rRNA from 1 species